GACGAACGCUGGCGGCGUGCCUAAUACAUGCAAGUAGAACGCACAGUUUAUACCGUAGCUUGCUACACCAUAGACUGUGAGUUGCGAACGGGUGAGUAACGCGUAGGUAACCUGCCUGGUAGCGGGGGAUAACUAUUGGAAACGAUAGCUAAUACCGCAUAAUAUUAAUUAUUGCAUGAUAAUUAAUUGAAAGGGGCAAUUGCACCACUACCAGAUGGACCUGCGUUGUAUUAGCUAGUAGGUGAGGUAACGGCUCACCUAGGCGACGAUACAUAGCCGACCUGAGAGGGUGAGCGGCCACACUGGGACGGAGACACGGCCCAGACGCCUACGGGAGGCAGCAGUAGGGAAUCUUCGGCAAGGGACGAAAGUCUGACCGAGCAACGCCGAGGGAGGGAAGAAGGAUGUCGGAUCGUAAAGCUCGGUUGUAAGAGAAGAACGGGUGUGAGAGUGGAAAGUUCACAGUGUGACGGUAGCUUAUCAGAAAGGGACGGCUAACUACGUG
rnacentral:rRNA from 1 species